GACGUAGGUGGCGAGCGUUGUUCGGAAUCACUGGGCAUAAAGAGCACGUAGGCGGCUGAGUAAGUCGGAUGUGAAAUACCUCGGCUUAACCGAGGAACUGCGUCCGAUACUGCUCGGCUUGAGGUCCGGAGGGGAGAGUGGAAUUCCCGGUGGAGCGGUGAAAUGCGUAGAGAUCGGGAAGAACGCCGGCGGCGAAAGCGACUCUCUGGUCGGAAUCUGACGCUGAGGUGCGAAAGCUAGGGGAGCAAACGGG
rnacentral:rRNA from 1 species